GACGAACGCUGGCGGCGUGCUUAACACAUGCCAGUCGAACGGAAAGGCCCCUUUGGGGGUACUCGAGUGGCGAACGGGUGAGUAACACGUGAGUAACCUGCCCUUGACUUCGGGAUAACUUCAGGAAACUGGGGCUAAUACCGGAUAGGAAUCCUUGCUGCAUGGUGGGGGUUGGAAAGCUUCGGCGGUUUUGGAUGGACUCGCGGCGUAUCAGCUUGUUGGUGGGGUAGUGGCUUACCACGGGUUUGACGGGUAGCCGGGCUGAGAGGGCGGUCGGCCACGGUGGGGCUGAGAUACGGCGCAGACUCCGACGGGAGGCAGCAGUUGGGAAUAUUGCACAAGGGGCGGAAGCCUGAGGGAGCAGCGCCGCGUGCGGUAGGACGGCCUUCGGGUUGUAAACCGCGUUCAGCAGGGGCUGAGCGUGUGGUGACGGUACCUGCAUAAGAAGCACCGGCUAACUACGUG
rnacentral:rRNA from 1 species